AGUGAGUGGCGGACGGGUGAGUAACACGUGGGUAACCUGCCCUAAAGUGGGGGAUAACAUUUGGAAACAGAUGCUAAUACCGCAUAAAACCUAACACCGCAUGGUGUAGGGUUGAAAGAUGGUUUCGGCUAUCACUUUAGGAUGGACCCGCGGUGCAUUAGUUAGUUGGUGAGGUAAAGGCUCACCAAGACCGUGAUGCAUAGCCGACCUGAGAGGGUAAUCGGCCACACUGGGACUGAGACACGGCCCAGACUCCUACGGGAGGCAGCAGUAGGGAAUCUUCCACAAUGGACGAAAGUCUGAUGGAGCAACGCCGCGUGAGUGAAGAAGGUUUUCGGAUCGUAAAACUCUGUUGUUGGAGAAGAAUGUAUCUGAUAGUAACUGAUCAGGUAGUGACGGUAUCCAACCAGAAAGCCACGGCUAACUACGUGCCAGCAGC
rnacentral:rRNA from 1 species